rnacentral:rRNA from 1 species
CGUGAGAUGUUGGGUUAAGUCCCGCAACGAGCGCAACCCUCGUUCCAUGUUGCCAGCAACACCUUUGGGUGGUUGGGGACUCAUGGGAGACUGCCGGGGUCAACUCGGAGGAAGGUGGGGAUGACGUCAAAUCAUCAUGCCCCUUACGUCUUGGGCUUCACGCAUGCUACAAUGGCCGGUACAAAGGGCUGCGAUCCCGUGAGGGGGAGCGAAUCCCAGAAAGCCGGUCUCAGUUCGGAUUGGGGUCUGCAACUCGACCCUA